rnacentral:rRNA from 1 species
GCUAGUUGUAUUAACUUUUAGUUAAUACAAGAUCGACUAUGUCGACUAAAGUUCUAGGUAGAAUAAUGAUGAUGACAAUUUUCUACCUAUAUGUCUUGACCAAAUCUCGUGCCAGCAGUCGCGGUAAUACGUGGAAGACUAGUGUUAUUCAUCUUAAAUAGGUUUAAAGGGUACCUAGACGGUAUAUCUAGCCCAAAACAGGGUACGGAUUAACUAGAGUUUUAUGUGAGAAGGGGAGUACUCUUAGAGUAAAGAUGAAAUUUUAUGAUACUAUGAGGAAACUGGUGGCGGCGAAAGCAACCUUCUAUGUAUAAACUGACGUUGAGGGACGAAGGCUUGGGUAGCAAAUAGGAUUAGAUACCCUAGUAGUCCAAGCAGACAAUUCUGAAUGCCAUAGAUUAGAUUUUUUUGAUUUAUAAAUGAAAGUGUAAGCAUUCCACCUUAGGAGUAAUGUGGCAACACAGGAACUGAAAUCAUUAGACCGUUUCUGAAACCAGUAGUGAAGUAUGUUAUUUAAUUUGAUAGUCCUCAAAAAACCUUACCACAACUUGAAUGUUAUUUAAUUAAUACAAGCGUUGCACGGCUGUCUUCAGUUAAUGUCGUGAGAUUUUGGUUAACUCCUUAAAUUAACGUAAACCCAUACUUUAU